rnacentral:rRNA from 1 species
GACGAACGCUGGCGGCGUGCUUAACACAUGCAAGUCGAACGGAAAGGCCCUGCUCUUGUGGGGUUCUCGAGUGGCGAACGGGUGAGUAACACGCGUGUAUCCCGCCCUUGACUUUGGGAUAACUCUAGGAAACUGGGGCUAAUAUCGGAUAUGAGAUCUUGCUGCACGUUGGUGGUUGGAAAGUUUCGGCGGUUGGGGCUGGACUCGCGGCUUAUCCGCUUGUUUGUCUGGUAGUUGCUUACCAAGGCUUCGAGGGGUAGCCGGCCUGGGAGGGUGACCGGGCACAUUGGGACUACGAUACGGCCCAGACUGCUACGGGAGGCAGCAGUGGAGAAUAUGGCGCAAUGGGCGGGAGCCUGAGACGGAGACGCCGCGUGCGGGAUGACCGCCUUCGGGUUGUAAACCGCUUUCGCCUGUGAUGAAGCGUGAGUGACGGUAAUGGGUAAAGAAGCACCGGCUAACUACGUG